rnacentral:ncRNA from 1 species
GUGUUGUAUGAAAGGAGAGAAGAUCAGCACUCCCCUUGAAAAGGAUGGAAGAGGCCCUUAUGGCCUAUACAAAAUUCAUACAGUUAAGGCACUGCCAUCUAUUUAGUGGCAUCUAACCAUGUUUAA